AACGAACGCUGGCGGCAGGCCUAACACAUGCAAGUCGAGCGAGCAUUUCGGUGCGAGCGGCGGACGGGCAAGUAACGCGUGUGAACGUGCGCUUUUCUGCGGAAUAGUACUGGGAAUCUGAGGGUACUACCGCAUACGCCCUCUUGGGGAAAGAUUUAUCGGAGAAGGAUCGGCCCGCGUUGGAUUAGGUAGUUGGUGAGGUAAUGGCCCACCAAGACGACGAUGCAGAGCUGGCUUGAGAAGAUGAUCAGCCACACUGGGACUGAGACACGGCGCAGACUCCUACGAGAGGCAGCAGUGGGGAAUCUUAGACAAUGGGGGCAACCCUGAUCGUUCCAUACCGCGUGGCUGAUGAAGGCCUUAGGGUUGUAAAGCUCUUUCAGCUGCGAAGAUAAUGACGGUACCAGCAGAGGAAGCCCCGGCUAACUCCGUG
rnacentral:rRNA from 1 species